UACGUAGGGUGCAGGCGUUAAUCGGAAUUACUGGGCGUAAAGCGUGCGCAGGCGGUUUGCUAAGACCGGUGUGAAAUCCCCGGGCUUAACCUGGGAACUGCGCUUGUAACUAGCAGGCUAGAGUGUGGCAGAGGGGGGUGGAAUUCCAGGUGUAGCAGUGAAAUGCGUAGAUAUCUGGAGGAACACCGAUGGCGAAGGCAGCCCCCUGGGCUAACACUGACGCUCAUGCACGAAAGCGUGGGGAGCAAACAGG
rnacentral:rRNA from 1 species